rnacentral:lncRNA from 1 species
UGCAUGUGUGUACAUACGUGUGUGUGUGUGUAUGUGUAUGUGUGUAUGCGUAUGUGUGACAUAUGUGUGAGACAGACCAGAGAGAGGGGGGGGAAGCACUUUUCAAAAAUAAGUACCAUUUAAUAUAAUGCAGCUGUAAAAUCUGGCAAGAGCAGGCGGUCCUGUUGCCCUUUAAGGCGCCCUUCCUGUGGAUGUCCCUCCAAAGGAGAAGUUGGUGACUUACCUCAUUACCUCAGCAUCCAUCUUAUCACUUCAUCUACAGGGACCGCCUCACGUAUGCGGCUGUAUUCCUCAGAUAUCCUGAAACUUUGGCCAAUAUCGUAAGCACCUUAACCCCUGGCUACUCAGUUGUAAGCACUUUUAGAUCACUUAGCACUUAAAAGUGCCGUGCAAUCUUUCAAGGCCGUUAAAUGUCUAAUAAUUUAAACUGCUGAGGGGAUAAGACCCGCAUGGCGUUGGUUGUCAUGGCGAGGUUGUGCGGGUGGCUUUUGAAUAGACUGCAGAAGUAUUAUUAUUAAGUCUUCGUGGAGUCUGUGGUUUAGAGUGGAGUAUUUUUGCUUUUUUUUAAACUUCGUUCAGUUCUCCGGCCUUAUAAUCAAACUUUUAAGGCAUAGAACUGAAUGAACUAUGGAUCUCUCCUUUGGAGAGUUAGUGUCACAGAGGGGACAUUCUGACAAAAUAAGCGUAAAGUUUAAGUUAAUGAGUAAAUAGUUGCAAAGAUUAUUUUAUUUUUGAAAAAGUUAAUGAAUACUCCCUUUCAUUUAUAUAAAAACAUUUGUGAAUUUGGGUUUUGCAUUUGGCUGUAUGCUCUUUUUUUGUUUGUUUGUUUUGAGUCUUGCCCAGGCUGGGUUUAAACUUCGGAUCCACCUGUCUUUGCCUCCUGGGAUUCAUUUUCUUUAACUCACAAAAAAAUAUGCAGAGUAAGCCCCAGUGUUAGCCAGUGUUAGCCAGUGUUAGCCUGUGUUAGCCAGUGUUAGCCUGGCUGACAGUGUUCUGCACAUUCCUAAGCACAGGAAGAUGCGUGCUGACAGCAUCAGCACCUUGUGGGUGGGUUGAAUGGAGACUCCUGUCUGGGUUUUGUCACAGGGGCCAUGGACAUGCAGAGGAGUGACAUUUGUAAGAUUUCACAGCCACACAGUGGGCAGACCCGUCUGGACCAGUACAUCUUGUCAUACAUGUGUGUCCCACCCCCAAAUGUACAGUGUCCACCUAGUUACCUGAGAGAACGCCCCAGUCAAGUGUUACUAGUCUUUUAGAUUUCAGCAGGGAAGCCUCCACCUAAUGUGGACCAACUCUGAACUAUUCCUGUCCCUAAGGUCAGAGAGGCCAUAAAUGAACAUUUACCUUAUAUUUUUAUUUCAUAAUGAAAUCUUUUAGGCCAAACAACAAUGUCUCGCUUCUUAAAGCCACAAAGAGCCAACCCCCCUCCUAGAUCCGCUGUGCCAGGACGGAUAGUGGGAGGCUGAUUCUCAACCUUUACCAGAACAGCAAAAUGUCUAAGACACAUGUAACGGGCAAAAACAGAAUGCUCAGACCAAAUGCGUUGUAAAGUGAUAUGCACUGUUAAUUACAGAUCUUUGAAAGUCUCUGUGCACAUAUGUAAGUUUUAUUCAACCAUAAAAUUUAUUAUCAGUCUUAGGUAAAUGAACAGUAUUUUUAUACCACAUAAACCCUGCUUUCCAAAACUCAUUUCCCUCUAACUUACCAGGCACAUUAUACACACAGCUUAAAAAAGAUCAUAUUUUUUUAUUCUUGACCAUCCACUUAUUUUGAAAUUUCCAAAGUUUCUUAGAAGCGAAUUAAAUAGAAACUCAUGGGGAGUGUCUUAUGGAGACGUCAGAAAAUGUCACACCAGAGAUCAUCCAUGCUGUAGCCAAAUGCAUCUUCUAAGUCUGUCAGUGGUGGGGUGUACCCACCUUCCCUGUGUCUAAAGUAUACUUUGCCCACUGACAGUGGGCUCUGGCACCUUGGGAUUGCUGUGAACCCAAAUCAAAAUAAAAUCUGAGAAGCAA